UAGCCCAUAUGCUCAUUUGCGAACAACUUCAGGCUGGACAUUUAGAACCUACUCUUAGUCCUUGGAAUAUUCCCAUUUUUGUAAUUAAGAAAAAUUGUGGUAAAUGGAGGUUGUUAUAAGAUCUCAGGGCAAUUAAUCAUGUUAUGGAGCCCAUGGGAGCUUCACAACCAGAGCUUCCUUCUCCUAUAGCCAUUCCUUUGGAUUAUCAUCUAAUGGUGAUAAAUUUAAAGGAUUGUUUCUUCACUAUACCUUUGCAUCCAGAUGACUGUAAAAAAAAGUUGCCUUCAA
rnacentral:ncRNA from 1 species